CCUACGGGAGGCAGCAGUGGGGAAUAUUGGGCAAUGGGCGCAAGCCUGACCCAGCAACGCCGCGUGAAGGAAGAAGGCUUUCGGGUUGUAAACUUCUUUUCUCAGGGACGAAGCAAGUCACGGUACCUGUGGAAUAAGCCACGGCUAACCACGUGCCAGCAGCCGCGGUAAUCCGUAGGGGGCAAGCGUUAUCCGGAUUUACGGGGUGUAAAGGGCGUGUAGGCGGGAAAGCAAGUCAGAUGUGAAAGCGCUGGGCUCAACCUGUGGCCUGCAUUUGAAACUGUGUGUCUGGAGUACUGGAGAGGCAGGCGGAAUGCCUGGUGUAGCGGUGAAAUGCGUAGAUAUUAGGAGGAACACCAGUGGCGAAGGCGGUCUGCUGGACAGCAACUGACGCUGAGGCGCGAAAGCGUGGGGAGCAAACAGGAUUAGAUACCCCGGUAGUC
rnacentral:rRNA from 1 species